AGAGUUUGAUCAUGGCUCAAGAACGAACGCUGGCGGCAGGCUUAACACAUGCAAGUCGAACGCGUGUAGCAAUACACGAGUGGCGCACGGGUGAGUAACGCGUGGAUAUCUGCCUUUUGGUUCGGAAUAACUCCGGGAAACUGGAGCUAAUACCGGAUGGUUCCUACGGGAUAAAGAUUUAUCGCCAAAAGAUGAGUCCGCGUACGAUUAGCUAGUUGGUGAGGUAAUGGCUCACCAAGGCGACGAUCGUUAGCUGGUCUGAGAGGACGAUCAGCCACACUGGGACUGAGACACGGCCCAGACUCCUACGGGAGGCAGCAGUGGGGAAUAUUGGACAAUGGGGGCAACCCUGAUCCAGCCAUGCCGCGUGAGUGAUGAAGGCCUUCGGGUUGUAAAGCUCUUUUGGCGGGGACGAUGAUGACGGUACCCGCAGAAUAAGCCCCGGCUAACUUCGUG
rnacentral:rRNA from 1 species